rnacentral:rRNA from 1 species
GACGUAGGGCGCGAGCGUUGUCCGGAUUUAUUGGGCGUAAAGAGCUCGUAGGCGGCUCAGUAAGUCAGGUGUGAAACCUCCAGGCUCAACCUGGAGACGCCACCUGAUACUGCUGUGGCUAGAGUCCGGUAGGGGAGCGUGGAAUUCCUGGUGUAGCGGUGAAAUGCGCAGAUAUCAGGAGGAACACCAGCGGCGAAGGCGGCGCUCUGGGCCGGAACUGACGCUGAGGAGCGAAAGCGUGGGUAGCAAACAGG